rnacentral:rRNA from 1 species
UACGGGGGGGGGCAAGCGUUGUUCGGAAUUACUGGGCGUAAAGGGCUCGUAGGCGGCCAACUAAGUCAGACGUGAAAUCCCUCGGCUUAACCGGGGAACUGCCUCUGAUACUGGAUGGCUUGAGAUUGGGAGAGGGAUGCGGAAUUCCAGGUGUAGCGGUGAAAUGCGUAGAUAUCUGGAGGAACACCGGUGGCGAAGGCGGCAUCCUGGACCGGCAUUGACGCUGAGGAGCGAAAGCCAGGGGAGCAAACGGG